GUUGCAACAAAGAGUCCCUCCCGACUGUUUACCAAAAACACAGCACUUUGCUAACACGUAAGUGGAUGUAUAAGGUGUGACGCCUGCCCGGUGCUCGAAGGUUAAUUGAUGGUGUCAGAGCAAUCGAAGCACUUGAUCGAAGCCCGAGUAAACGGCGGCCGUAACAAUAACGGUCCUAAGGUAGCGAAAUUCCUUGUCGGUUAAAUACCGACCUGCAUGAAUGGCGUAACGAGAUGGGAGCUGUCUCAACCAGGGAUCCAGUGAAAUUGUAGUGGAGGUGAAAAUUCCUCCUACCCGCGGAAAGACGGAAAGACCCCGUGCACCUUUACUACAGCUUGACACUGUAGCUUGGAUAUUCAUGUGCAGGAUAGGUGGGAGGCUAUGAUGACUAGACGCCAGUAGAGUCGGAGCCAUCCUUGAGAUACCACCCUUGAAUAUUUGAGUUACUAACUGCGUACAAUUAUCUUGUAUCAGGACAAUGUCUGGUGGGUAGUUUGACUGGGGCGGUCGCCUCCUAAAAAGUACGGAGGCUUAACG
rnacentral:rRNA from 1 species